GGGGGCGUAGUUCAGUUGGUUAGAACGCCGGCCUGUCACACCGGAGGCCGCGGGUUCGAGUCCCGUCGCUCCCG
rnacentral:tRNA from 1 species